rnacentral:rRNA from 1 species
UAGGGAAUCUUCCGCAAUGGGCGAAAGCCUGACGGAGCAACGCCGCGUGAGUGAUGAAGGUCUUCGGAUCGUAAAACUCUGUUAUUAGGGAAGAACAAAUGUGUAAGUAACUAUGCACGUCUUGACGGUACCUAAUCAGAAAGCCACGGCUAACUACGUGCCAGCAGCCGCGGUAAUACGUAGGUGGCAAGCGUUAUCCGGAAUUAUUGGGCGUAAAGCGCGCGUAGGCGGUUUUUUAAGUCUGAUGUGAAAGCCCACGGCUCAACCGUGGAGGGUCAUUGGAAACUGGAAAACUGGAGUGCAGAAGAGGAAAGUGGAAUUCCAUGUGUAGCGGUGAAAUGCGCAGAGAUAUGGAGGAACACCAGUGGCGAAGGCGACUUUCUGGUCUGUAACUGACGCGGAUGUGCGAAAGCGUGGGGAUCAAACAGG